UUAAGCGACUAAGCGUACACGGUGGAUGCCCUGGCAGUCAGAGGCGAUGAAGGACGUGCUAAUCUGCGAUAAGCGUCGGUAAGGUGAUAUGAACCGUUAUAACCGGCGAUUUCCGAAUGGGGAAACCCAGUGUGUUUCGACACACUAUCAUUAACUGAAUCCAUAGGUUAAUGAGGCGAACCGGGGGAACUGAAACAUCUAAGUACCCCGAGGAAAAGAAAUCAACCGAGAUUCCCCCAGUAGCGGCGAGCGAACGGGGAGCAGCCCAGAGCCUGAAUCAGUGUGUGUGUUAGUGGAAGCGUCUGGAAAGGCGCGCGAUACAGGGUGACAGCCCCGUACACAAAAAUGCACAUGCUGUGAGCUCGAUGAGUAGGGCGGGACACGUGGUAUCCUGUCUGAAUAUGGGGGGACCAUCCUCCAAGGCUAAAUACUCCUGACUGACCGAUAGUGAACCAGUACCGUGAGGGAAAGGCGAAAAGAACCCCGGCGAGGGGAGUGAAAAAGACCUGAAACCGUGUACGUACAAGCAGUGGGAGCACGCUUAGGCGUGUGACUGCGUACCUUUUGUAUAAUGGGUCAGCGACUUAUAUUCUGUAGCAAGGUUAACCGAAUAGGGGAGCCGAAGGGAAACCGAGUCUUAACUGGGCGUUAAGUUGCAGGGUAUAGACCCGAAACCCGGUGAUCUAGCCAUGGGCAGGUUGAAGGUUGGGUAACACUAACUGGAGGACCGAACCGACUAAUGUUGAAAAAUUAGCGGAUGACUUGUGGCUGGGGGUGAAAGGCCAAUCAAACCGGGAGAUAGCUGGUUCUCCCCGAAAGCUAUUUAGGUAGCGCCUCGUGAAUUCAUCUCCGGGGGUAGAGCACUGUUUCGGCAAGGGGGUCAUCCCGACUUACCAACCCGAUGCAAACUGCGAAUACCGGAGAAUGUUAUCACGGGAGACACACGGCGGGUGCUAACGUCCGUCGUGAAGAGGGAAACAACCCAGACCGCCAGCUAAGGUCCCAAAGUCAUGGUUAAGUGGGAAACGAUGUGGGAAGGCCCAGACAGCCAGGAUGUUGGCUUAGAAGCAGCCAUCAUUUAAAGAAAGCGUAAUAGCUCACUGGUCGAGUCGGCCUGCGCGGAAGAUGUAACGGGGCUAAACCAUGCACCGAAGCUGCGGCAGCGACGCUUAUGCGUUGUUGGGUAGGGGAGCGUUCUGUAAGCCUGCGAAGGUGUGCUGUGAGGCAUGCUGGAGGUAUCAGAAGUGCGAAUGCUGACAUAAGUAACGAUAAAGCGGGUGAAAAGCCCGCUCGCCGGAAGACCAAGGGUUCCUGUCCAACGUUAAUCGGGGCAGGGUGAGUCGACCCCUAAGGCGAGGCCGAAAGGCGUAGUCGAUGGGAAACAGGUUAAUAUUCCUGUACUUGGUGUUACUGCGAAGGGGGGACGGAGAAGGCUAUGUUGGCCGGGCGACGGUUGUCCCGGUUUAAGCGUGUAGGCUGGUUUUCCAGGCAAAUCCGGAAAAUCAAGGCUGAGGCGUGAUGACGAGGCACUACGGUGCUGAAGCAACAAAUGCCCUGCUUCCAGGAAAAGCCUCUAAGCAUCAGGUAACAUCAAAUCGUACCCCAAACCGACACAGGUGGUCAGGUAGAGAAUACCAAGGCGCUUGAGAGAACUCGGGUGAAGGAACUAGGCAAAAUGGUGCCGUAACUUCGGGAGAAGGCACGCUGAUAUGUAGGUGAAGUCCCUUGCGGAUGGAGCUGAAAUCAGUCGAAGAUACCAGCUGGCUGCAACUGUUUAUUAAAAACACAGCACUGUGCAAACACGAAAGUGGACGUAUACGGUGUGACGCCUGCCCGGUGCCGGAAGGUUAAUUGAUGGGGUCAGCGCAAGCGAAGCUCUUGAUCGAAGCCCCGGUAAACGGCGGCCGUAACUAUAACGGUCCUAAGGUAGCGAAAUUCCUUGUCGGGUAAGUUCCGACCUGCACGAAUGGCGUAAUGAUGGCCAGGCUGUCUCCACCCGAGACUCAGUGAAAUUGAACUCGCUGUGAAGAUGCAGUGUACCCGCGGCAAGACGGAAAGACCCCGUGAACCUUUACUAUAGCUUGACACUGAACAUUGAGCCUUGAUGUGUAGGAUAGGUGGGAGGCUUUGAAGUGUGGACGCCAGUCUGCAUGGAGCCGACCUUGAAAUACCACCCUUUAAUGUUUGAUGUUCUAACGUUGACCCGUGAUCCGGGUUGCGGACAGUGUCUGGUGGGUAGUUUGACUGGGGCGGUCUCCUCCUAAAGAGUAACGGAGGAGCACGAAGGUUGGCUAAUCCUGGUCGGACAUCAGGAGGUUAGUGCAAUGGCAUAAGCCAGCUUGACUGCGAGCGUGACGGCGCGAGCAGGUGCGAAAGCAGGUCAUAGUGAUCCGGUGGUUCUGAAUGGAAGGGCCAUCGCUCAACGGAUAAAAGGUACUCCGGGGAUAACAGGCUGAUACCGCCCAAGAGUUCAUAUCGACGGCGGUGUUUGGCACCUCGAUGUCGGCUCAUCACAUCCUGGGGCUGAAGUAGGUCCCAAGGGUAUGGCUGUUCGCCAUUUAAAGUGGUACGCGAGCUGGGUUUAGAACGUCGUGAGACAGUUCGGUCCCUAUCUGCCGUGGGCGCUGGAGAACUGAGGGGGGCUGCUCCUAGUACGAGAGGACCGGAGUGGACGCAUCACUGGUGUUCGGGUUGUCAUGCCAAUGGCACUGCCCGGUAGCUAAAUGCGGAAGAGAUAAGUGCUGAAAGCAUCUAAGCACGAAACUUGCCCCGAGAUGAGUUCUCCCUGACUCCUUGAGAGUCCUGAAGGAACGUUGAAGACGACGACGUUGAUAGGCCGGGUGUGUAAGCGCAGCGAUGCGUUGAGCUAACCGGUACUAAUGAACCGUGAGGCUUAACCUU
rnacentral:rRNA from 1 species